rnacentral:rRNA from 1 species
UACGAAGGGUGCAAGCGUUUGUUCGGAUUUAUUGGGCGUAAAGCGCGCGUAGGCGGACCUGCAAGUCAGAUGUGAAAUCUCGGGGCUCAACCCCGAAACUGCGUCUGAAACUACAGGUCUAGAAUCUUGGAGGGGGAAGGGGAAUUUCGCAUGUAGGGGUAAAAUCCGUAGAUAUGCGAAGGAACACCAGAGGCGAAGGCGCCUUCCUGGACAAGUAUUGACGCUGAGGCGCGAAAGCGUGGGGAUCAAACAGG